rnacentral:tRNA from 1 species
AAAACUUUAGUAUAAUGGAGUAUAAGUCGUUGUCUGCGGUUAGGUUUUGAAGUUUUG